rnacentral:rRNA from 1 species
GACGAACGCUGGCGGCGCGCUUAACACAUGCAAGUCGAGCGAUAACCAUGGCUUCGGCUAUGGGGAGAGCGGCGAACGGGUGAGUAACACGUGAGCGAUCUGCCCUCGACACUGGGAUAGCCCGGGGAAACCCGGAUUAAUACCGGAUAGCCUCUCGGGCCCACGGGCUCGUGAGAAAAGAUAGCUUCGGCUUUCGGUUGAGGAGGAGCUUGCGGCGGAUUAGCUUGUUGGUGAGGUAACGGCUCACCAAGGCGACGAUCCGUAGCUGGUCUGAGAGGACGAUCAGCCACACUGGGACUGAGACACGGCCCAGACUCCUACGGGAGGCUG